rnacentral:rRNA from 1 species
UACGUAGGGUGCAAGCGUUAAUCGGAAUUACUGGGCGUAAAGCGUGCGCAGGCGGUGAUGUAAGACAGUUGUGAAAUCCCCGGGCUCAACCUGGGAACUGCAUCUGUGACUGCAUCGCUGGAGUGCGGCAGAGGGGGAUGGAAUUCCGCGUGCAGCAGUGAAAUGCGUAGAUAUGCGGAGGAACACCGAUGGCGAAGGUCAAUCCCCUGGGCCUGCACUGACGCUCAUGCACGAAAGCGUGGGGAGCAAACAGG